GCAGUCGCACGAGAACGCUUCAGCCUUGCUGGAGCUAGUAAAGUGGCGUACGGGUGAGUAACGCGUGGGUAAUCUAUCUCCGAAUUGGGGAUAACAUUGCGAAAGCGAUGCUAAUACCGGAUAAAAUCCAUUAAACCUCGGUUUUUUUGGAUCAAAGGUGGCCUCUACAUGUAAGCUACUGUUUGGAGACGAGCUCGCGUACCAUUAGCUUGUUGGUAGGGUAAUGGCCUACCAAGGCAACGAUGGUUAGCUGGUCUGAGAGGAUGAUCAGCCACACUGGAACUGACACACGGUCCAGACUCCUACGGGAGGCAGCAGUGAGGAAUUUUGCGCAAUGGGGGAAACCCUGACGCAGCAACGCCGCGUGAGUGAUGAAGGCUUUCGGGUCGUAAAACUCUGUCAAGUGGGAAGAACCCGUGCCGUACAAAUAGUGCGGUGCGCUGACGGUACCACUGAAGGAAGCACCGGCUAACUCCGUGCCAGCAGCCGCGGUAAUACGGGGGGUGCAAGCGUUAUUCGGAAUCAUUGGGCGUAAAGAGCGCGUAGGCGGUCUUCUAUGUCAGGUGUGAAAGCCCGGGGCUCAACCCCGGAAGUGCAUUUGAAACUGG
rnacentral:rRNA from 1 species